GAAGAUGCAGAAGAGUUCAUUUUUUUUAUAUAUGUAAGUAAGGCUGUUGACAUUUACCCGAGUCUCUCAGACGGGGGUGUGUUUUCAGCCUUUCAGGUACUUGCAUUGGGCAUCACAUGGGAGGGAUUGGAAAAGACUGUAUACCACGUCUGGAUACCGCUCAAGCCAAGUCCUAAUAGAACACUAAUGGAAGCCAGCCAAGUCGAAUUGCCAUAAAUGAAUGCCAUCAAUUUCUUCCAAUUGCUAUUGUGGUAUUUUUCUAUCUCUGCUUCAACGUUGCCCUAAAUCGCGUUGUUAGGCACCAAGUCAAUGCCCAUCUCCUUCAAGAGUUGAGCCACCUCCUCAUCACUCCCAAGCAAGUUUAGAAGUAUGCCCCUUUUCCUCAUGUGCUUCACAUCGUCU
rnacentral:lncRNA from 1 species